rnacentral:rRNA from 1 species
UACGUAGGGUGCAAGCGUUAUCCGGAAUUAUUGGGCGUAAAGAGCUCGUAGGCGGUUUGUCGCGUCUGCUGUGAAAACUGGAGGCUCAACCUCCAGCCUGCAGUGGGUACGGGCAGACUAGAGUGCGGUAGGGGAGAUUGGAAUUCCUGGUGUAGCGGUGAAAUGCGCAGAUAUCAGGAGGAACACCAAUGGCGAAGGCAGCUCGCUGGGACGUGACUGACGCUGAGACGCGAAAGCCAGGGGAGCGAACGGG